rnacentral:rRNA from 1 species
ACGGAAGGCAGCAGUGGGGAAUAUUGCACAAUGGGCGCAAGCCUGAUGCAGCAACGCCGCGUGAGGGAAGACGGUUUUCGGAUUGUAAACUUCUUUUACCAGGGACGAAGGACGUGACGGUACCUGGAGAAAAAGCAACGGCUAACUACGUGCCAGCAGCCGCGGUAAUACGUAGGUUGCAAGCGUUGUCCGGAUUUACUGGGUGUAAAGGGCGUGUAGGCGGAGCUGCAAGUCAGAUGUGAAAUCCCGGGGCUCAACCCCGGAACUGCAUUUGAAACUGUAGCCCUUGAGUAUCGGAGAGGCAAGCGGAAUUCCUAGUGUAGCGGUGAAAUGCGUAGAUAUUAGGAGGAACACCAGUGGCGAAGGCGGCUUGCUGGACGACAACUGACGCUGAGGCGCGAAAGCGUGGGGAGCAAACAGGAUUAGAUACCCUGGUA